rnacentral:rRNA from 1 species
CAGCAGCCACGGUAACACGAAGGGGGCUAGCGUUGUUCGGAAUUACUGGGCGUAAAGCGCACGUAGGCGGAUAUUUAAGUCAGGGGUGAAAUCCCGCAGCUCAACUGCGGAACUGCCUUUGAUACUGGGUAUCUUGAGUAUGGAAGAGGUUAGUGGAAUUGCGAGUGUAGAGGUGAAAUUCGUAGAUAUUCGCAGGAACACCAGUGGCGAAGGCGGCUAACUGGUCCAUAACUGACGCUGAGGUGCGAAAGCGUGGGGAGCAAACAGGAUUAGAUACCCCCGUAGUCCCUGUCUCUUAUAC